AAUAGUGCAAUAUCUGUAUAAGUAGUGCAACAUAUGCAUUGUUAAUACACAUUUUGCAUGAUUUUUACACUAAAUUACGUACAGUUUAGUAUAUUACGUAAAAAUAAUAUAUAUAUAAGUAGUGCAACAUAUGCAUUGUUAAUACACAUUUUACAUAAUUUUUACACUAAAUACGUACAGUUUAAUAUAUUACGUAAAAAUAAUAUAAUAUAUUACAACAUACUAUAAAAAUUAUACAAUAUAUGUAAAAAUAGUACAUAUUUUAUACUAUUUGUACAGAUAUUUACACAAUUUGUGUAAACGUUGCACUAUUAUGAGAGCAUAUUACACUAUUUAGAUGGGUGUUGCACUCCUUCUUUUUUAAAAUUAAAUUUUAUUAUAUAUUAAAUAAAGUAUCAAAUUUUUUGAAAAUGAUAACUGCUAAGCCAUAAUUACAUAUACAUUUCUCGUGAAACGAGAAUCCUCAUUCAAGAAAAAAUAAAAAAUAAAAUUAAUAAGAUGAAAAAGUGCAACAUUCUCUCAAAUAGUGCAGCAUGCUCUACCAAAUAGUGCAAUAUCUGUAUAAGUAGUGCAACAUAUGCAUUAUUAAUACACAUUUUGCAUGAUUUUUACACUAAAUUACGUACAGUUUAGUAUAUUACGCGAAAAUAAUAUAAUAUAUUAUAACAUACUAUAAAAAUUAUACAAUAUAUGUAAAAAUGGUGCAUAUUUUACACUAUUUGUACAGAUAUUUACACCAUUUGUGUAAACGUUGCACUAUUAUGAGAGCAUAUUACACCAUUUAAAUGGGUGUUGCACUCUUUUUUUUUUUAAAAAUUAAAUUUCAUUGCAUAUUAAAUAAAGUGUCGAAUUUAUUAAAAAUGACAACUUGUAAGCCAUAAUUACAUGUACCCUUCUCGUGAAAUGAGAAACCUUAUUUAAGACAAAAUAAAAAAAAAUAAUAAUUAAUAAGAUGAAAGAGUGCAACAUUCUCUCAAAUAGUGCAACAUACUCUUCCAAAUAGUACAAUGUCUGUAUAAGUAGUGCAACAUAUGUAUUGUUAAUACACAUUUUGUAUGAUUUUUACAAUAAAUUACGUACAGUUUAGUAUAUUACGCAAAAAUAAUAUAAUAUAUUAUAAAAUGUGGUUAUAUUACGCAUAAUAUAUUAUAUUAUUUUCGCGUAAUAUACUAAACUGUAAGUAAUUUAGUGUAAAAAUAAUACAAAAUGUGUAUUAACAAUACAUAUGUUGCACUACUUAUACAGAGAUUGCACUAUUUGGAAGAGCAUGUUGCACUCUUUCAUUUUAUUAAUUAUUUUUUAUUUUUUUUAUUUUGUCUUGAAUGGGUUUCUCGUUUUACGAAAAAAUGUACAUGUAAUUAUGGCUUAACAGUUAUCAUUUUUAAAAAAUUCAACAUUUUAUUUAAUAUACAACAAAAUUUUAUUCCUUUUAUUUUGUCUUGAAUGAGAUUUCUCGUUUCACAAGAAAGGUACAUAUAAUUAUGGCUUAGCAAGAUACGUACAUAUAAAUAUAGCUUAGUAGUUGUCAUUUUUAAGAAAUUUGACACUUCAUUUAAUAUGCAAUGAAAUUUAAUUUUUAAAAAGAAAAAGUGUAACACACAUGUAAAUGGUGCAAUAUCCUCUCAUAAUAAUGCAAUGUUUACACAAAUGGUGCAAAUAUCUGUACAAAUAGAAUAAAAUAUGCACCGUUUGUACAUAUAUUGUAUAAUUUUUAUAGUAUGUUGUAAUAUAUUAUAUUAUUUUCACGUAAUAAAUUAAACUGUACGUAUUUAGUGUAAAAAUUAUGUAUAAUGCGUAUUAAUAAUGCAUAUGUUGCACUACUUAUACGGAUAUUGUACUAUUUGGAAGAGUAUGUUGCACUAUUUGAGAGGUUAUUGUACUCUUUCUUCUUAUUAAUUAUACUUUAUUUUUUUUUAUUUUUUUUCAUGUGGAUUUUCAUUUCACGAGAAAGGUAUAUGUAAUUAUGGCUUAGCAGUUGUCAUUUUCACAAAAUUUUAUAUUUAAUGACUUAGCAGCUGUAUUUUUCUAGACAUUUAAAGUACAUAAUUUUUAUAUAUUUUGAAAGAAGGAUACUUUAAUCAUCCUUCUGAAAAAUUCAAUCCGAAUCUGUAAAAUUUAAAAGAUAACUUAUUUUUGUAAAAACUUAAAACUAAUAGAUUUUUUAUGCAAAUUG
rnacentral:lncRNA from 1 species